rnacentral:pre_miRNA from 2 species
GUUGAGGGGAAUGUUGUCUGGUCGGAGACCUAACACCGCGGAUCCAUGCGGCAUCGCAGCAUGGUGGAUGGUUUCGGACCAGGCUUCAUUCCCCCCAAC